UACGAAGGGGGGCUAGCGUUGCUCGGAAUCACUGGGCGUAAAGCGCACGUAGGCGGGUUGCUAAGUCAGGGGUGAAAUCCUGGAGCUCAACUCCAGAACUGCCUUUGAUACUGGCGGCCUUGAGUCCGGGAGAGGUGAGUGGAACUGCGAGUGUAGAGGUGAAAUUCGUAGAUAUUCGCAAGAACACCAGUGGCGAAGGCGGCUCACUGGCCCGGUACUGACGCUGAGGUGCGAAAGCGUGGGGAGCAAACAGG
rnacentral:rRNA from 1 species